CCUACGGGAGGCUGCAGUGAGGAAUAUUGGUCAAUGGGCGCGAGCCUGAACCAGCCAAGUCGCGUGAGGGAAGACGGUCCUAUGGAUUGUAAACCUCUUUUGUCGGGGAGCAAAAGACGCCACGUGUGGCGUUCCGAGAGUACCCGAAGAAAAAGCAUCGGCUAACUCCGUGCCAGCAGCCGCGGUAAUACGGAGGAUGCGAGCGUUAUCCGGAUUUAUUGGGUUUAAAGGGUGCGCAGGCGGAAGAUCAAGUCAGCGGGAAAAUUGAGAGGCUCAACCUCUUCGAGCCGUUGAAACUGGUUUUCUUGAGUGAGCGAGAAGUAUGCGGAAUGCGUGGUGUAGCGGUGAAAUGCAUAGAUAUCACGCAGAACUCCGAUUGCGAAGGCAGCAUACCGGCGCUCAACUGACGCUCAUGCACGAAAGUGUGGGUAUCGAACAGGAUUAGAUACCCCAGUAGUC
rnacentral:rRNA from 1 species